rnacentral:rRNA from 1 species
UCCUACGGGAGGCAGCAGUGGGGAAUAUUGCACAAUGGGCGAAAGCCUGAUGCAGCAACGCCGCGUGAGGGAUGAAGGCCUUCGGGUCGUAAAACUCUGUCCUCAAGGAAGAUAAUGACGGUACUUGAGGAGGAAGCCCCGGCUAACUACGUGCCAGCAGCCGCGGUAAUACGUAGGGGGCUAGCGUUAUCCGGAUUUACUGGGCGUAAAGGGUGCGUAGGCGGUCUUUCAAGUCAGGAG